rnacentral:rRNA from 1 species
UACAGAGACCUCAAGCGUUAUCCGGAAUCAUUGGGCGUAAAGCGUACCGAUAGGUGGUCAUGCAAGUCAGAAGUGAAAUCUCAAGGCUCAACUUUGAGACUGUCUUUUGAAACUGCAAGACUAGAGGGGCAAAGAGGAAGCUGGAACGAACGGUGUAGUAGUGAAAUGCGUUGAUAUCGUUCGGAACACCAAUAGCGAAGGCGGGCUUCUGGGUGCCACCUGACACUGCUAGGACGAAAGCGUGGGGAGCGAAUGGG